rnacentral:lncRNA from 1 species
GUGCGCGCAGGGAGGAGCGUAAAAGUUGACAGCCUUGAGCAUGUGACACCUUCUGCCAUGAGAUGAUGCUACAAGAAGAACCUCACCGACUGCUGGCACCUUGAUACUGGACUUCACAGCCUCCAGAAUUGUGAGCCACGACGGAGACAAAGAAGAUUUUCCUGAGCAGUGUCAGUAACAAAGAAAUGAAGCAAAUUAUUAAGAAACUGAUGGGCAUUCAUUGAAGAGCAACAAAUAUGAUUCAUAAGUCUGAAGGGACAGCCUUCAGAGAGAAGAUGAAAGAGACAAGUCUCUCAGCAUGACCAUGUGGCUCUAACGGGACUGGCUCAUGGGCAACAAGUACUUGAAGGGUGUAAAUAGUGGGGACAGAGAGAAAUUAUUUAGUGUGCAAGGGGACAGCAGGAGGAGUGAUGGUAAAUGAAAGUCAAAACAAAGAUGAUUUAGGCAGCUGAACGAGUCACAGGCCCUAAUGGAGAGAUCUAUUAUAGGCUGUACAGCCUUGGGAAGGGUGGAAACCCCAUCACUUGUGCCAUUUACAGUUGGAAAAGCCAUUAAAAAGUAGAUCAGCCUGUUGGAGAGGGAAAAAACACCGCAGGUCCUCAGAGAAUCAGUGGGAUGACUUAAUAGGUCUUUUCCAUCUCAAAUUACUGUGAUGUAGUUUGUACGCAUGGGGACCUGAGGUUCUAGAAUAAUUUUUCCAGCAUUUGGGCUUCUUUACUAUUACUACAAGGCCUCAGUGAAGAAAUGAUAACGGGUCAUGGAAUGCAGUUUCUGCAUUGUAAGUGGAAGCCCACAGUGUACUGAUGCUUUAGUAUGAAGGCAGGACUGACUAUGGUAAGUUUCACAUUGUGAUGUCAGUGUAAAUAAAUAAAAACACAAUACCAAUUAAGUCCCAAAACAACAUACAUAUAUUGACUGAGACCAAAGGCAGAGGGAAAGGACCUUUGUCACAGUUAGAUGGUGGCUGAAUAAAUGAAAAUUCAAGUAGUUUAUUCUCUCAUCUAGAAAAAUACAUGUCUAAAUACUUAAAAGUCUAUCUUUACAAAAAAAAAAUAAGAAAAAAAAUGGCCUUAAAACUAUCAAGAAAUAUUUACUGUGUAGGAACUUUAGGACCCACAUUUUGAAUGUGUGCUGUAUUUCUGUGCACAGCUGCAGUUGUAAUUAGCAACUGACACAUUCCGAAACCAUGGUGGCCCAGAGGAGCACAUAUGUGCACAGGCUGUGCCAACCUGGGGCAAUAACUGCAACUGAAAGGAACGGGCACAGCUUGGUCAGAUGGAAACUGGGGCAGGCAGAGAAGGGCUGGUGUUACUGUGAUUACUAGAAGGAGCACAGCUGUGACCAUCUCAACCCUUCUCAGCCAGAGGAUGACACGGAAGCAGGGGACAAAAAUGGUAAGAGGGUGACAGGAGGGAGAGGCAGCAAGAAAGAAAGCAAAAGAAUCCAGAGAGGGAAACCCACAGAUGCAAGCUCUUUGCAGGUGGAGUAUAUCACAGAUCCUGAUAAAAAUAUUGUAUGUGGUUGAGCACAAGUGAAACUUGGCGUUCUAGAAGACUGAAGUUUGCAACAAAAAUUCAGGGUUUGACCUACACCUGACAGAUAUAGGUCAACCCUCAUCCUGCUGCUCUCAGCAGCUGUAGCCAAUAGGAGACAGUGCUGCCCAGCAUGCCGGUUUAAGCUGCUGCUAAUAGAGGGAAAUCAACGUAACCCCAUAUUUCCUGCCUCUGCAGUCCUCACUUGUCUAUACAUGGCCAACUCAGGCGCAGGCAGAGCUGCUGGCUUGCUGUAACUGCUGGAUGACUGAUAAGUGGAAUCUGGUGCUAGCAUAUAUAUUCCCACCUCAUCUAGCUAAAAAAUCUUUUGUAAAGCCUUUUAAGGGAGGACCAUUAAAAUUCAAUUUUCCCUCAUUAACCUAAAUGCUUUCUUAAAUUCAUAUAACCAGAAGAGACGUACUAAUUCUUCACACCAACAGAACUUUAGAGAUGUUUAGAGAGAGGAAAUUCCGUGACAGAGGCCUAUUUUUGAAAGGAUACAGCAAAGGUUAAGUGACUUAUCCCAUGUUACUUAGAGGUGAUAGUUAAGGCAGAAAGCGAACUGAGGGAGUGGUCUGAGAUAAGUGAGGAAAUUAUGAAAUUAAAUCUGAAGAAAGAACAUCAUCACCAAAUCACAUUGGGUUAAAUAUCUAUUGGAAAUCCCAAUUCAGUAACACACAUUCCUUUAUCCUACAUGUUCAGACUAGUGUUAAAAGUGACUUCAGAUAUUUCCUAUGCUCAUGUUUUUUAAAAAAAAGUCCAACCAUUCUCCUCAAUGAACAUGACAUUAAAUCAAGCUAAGUCCAGUCACAUGGUCUCAACUUUACUCACUAAAGCUAGCAGGCAAGGGCCUAGUGAGUUGAAUUAGAGGUUUAAUUAGAAGAACAAGCAAUAAAUGCUAAAUGUUCUGUUGCAACUGUGUAACUUUCUGUGGGAUUUUAUGCCUUGUAUCUUUUUUCCUGAAUUCCAGACCAACGGGGCUGCACUAGAACCCCAGAAGCAGAGAAUUCCAUAACUCAGACUCUUUGAUUCAGAUAUUUUUCUUUUCAUCACCUUGAGAGAGCAAAUAAAUCCCCCAAACUACUUUUCCCACCUCUCAAGCUUCUAGAGGAUAUUCUUGACUGGAAUUUGUCCAUGUUCUUAAAUAACAGGUUACUUCACGUUCUUUGUGUUUAAAUAAAUGUAAUUAGGCCUGUUUUUAAAAACUAUGGAAAAUAUUAAAAAGAAAAUUAAAAUCAUCUAUAAACUUACCACUUAGUGGCAGCCACAUGAACAUUUUUGUGUUUCCUUAUUUCUACACAUAUGUAUACUUUCCAAAAUUUGUCAUAAAUGUUUUAAAGGUGCUUCAUAUAUUGCCAAAUUGCCCUCCAGAAAAGUUAAAUCAAUUUAUAAUCCAUUUUCAGUGAAUGGUGUAAUUUUAAAAGCCAGCUUUAAAUUUGAGUUGAAAAAUGAUGCCUCACAGCUGUCUUUAUUUUCUUCUAUCUCCCUCAAUCCUAAAGUUGACCAUUUCUUUCCUAUGGUUAUGGCCAAUUACAGUGGACAUCGUGUUUCACUCCUCAACAACAAUGUAGUUUCUGGAAUUGACCCCAGCUCUCGGAAUGAGUCCUGAUUACUAUUGAACCAAGCAUAGUAAUCCAAUCUCUUUGGCUAGUGAAAGGUUCAAAAUCAAAACAUAGCAUUCCUGUGACAAGAGAUUUAAUCCAGGUUGGUCCUAAUCUGAGUCAAUAAGGCUGAGAAGAAGCACUUGUAUUUUGUUGCUAGAAAAGAGAUUCUACGGCCUGGUGUGGUGGUUCACACCUGUAAUCCCAGCACUUUGGGAGGCCGAGGUGGGUGGAUCAUUUGAGGUCAGGAGUUUGAGACCAGCCUGCCUCUACCAAAAACACAAAAAUUAGCCGAGUGUGGUCGCGGGUGCCUGUAGUUCCAGCUACUCGGGAGGCUGAGGCAGGAGAAUCGCUUGAACCCAGGAGGUAGAGGUUGCAGUGAGCCAAGAAAAAAAAAAAAAAAAAGAGAGAGAGAGAGGUUCCACUUCUCCUCUGAUGAAUGUGAACAGGAAAGCGUAUUGUCCCCACGUGCUGCUGGGUGUUAUCUUGUGAACCUCAGAGAAGUCAACCUGACUUUCUGGUUACAUGCAAAAAUAUAUUAUUUCCUUAGUGUUUAGGUUAGUUUGAUUUGGGCUUCCAAUUUUUACAGUGAGAAGCUGUCAGAACCCUUUCUCUUUAUGGGAUUUUUGGAGUUUUUUAUUUGGUUUUUGCCAAUUCCUAUUAGGCAUUAUCAGUGUUUUUAUUGUUGAUGUGGUAAGAACUCUAUUGAGGGUGUAAUCUUGUUGUCUAUUUAUUAUGACUAUGUCUCCAAGUUUAUCACUUGUUCAUUAUUUGCUAUGUAGUCUUAUUUAAUUCAGAGAAGAAU